rnacentral:sRNA from 1 species
AGUGCACAGUUCCACCCCUUCCAUCUGCAUGCAUGACACAUUAACAGUAUUUAAAGAAUUCCCUCCUUGCUGUGUCCUACAGAUUGACUACUUCAACAAUCAGAUCAUUGUUGACCUCGUGGAGCAACAGCACAAAGGGAUCAUUUCAAUCCUUGAUGAUGCUUGCAUGAAUGUCGGCAAAGUCACCGAUGAAAUGUUUCUUGAAGCACUUAACAGUAAAUUGGGCAAACACGCACAUUUUUCCAGCCGAAAGCUCUGCGCCUCAGACAAAAUUCUGGAGUUUGAUCGAGAUUUUCGAAUUCGACAUUAUGCAGGCGAUGUAGUCUAUUCUGUCAUUGGUUUUAUUGACAAAAAUAAAGAUACUUUAUUUCAAGAUUUCAAGCGCCUUAUGUAUAACAGUUCAAAUCCUGUGCUCAAGAAUAUGUGG